AUUGAACGCUGGCGGCAUGCUUUACACAUGCAAGUCGGACGGCAGCAUAGAGAAGCUUGCUUCUUGGGUGGCGAGUGGCGAACGGGUGAGUAACAUAUCGGAACGUACCGAGCAGUGGGGGAUAACUAAUCGAAAGAUUAGCUAAUACCGCAUAUCUUCUGAGGAAGAAAGCAGGGGACCAUUUGGCCUUGCGCUGUUUGAGCGGCCGAUAUCUGAUUAGCUAGUUGGUGGGGUAAAGGCCUACCAAGGCGACGAUCAGUAGCGGGUCUGAGAGGAUGAUCCGCCACACUGGGACUGAGACACGGCCCAGACUCCUACGGGAGGCAGCAGUGGGGAAUUUUGGACAAUGGGCGCAAGCCUGAUCCAGCCAUGCCGCGUGUCUGAAGAAGGCCUUCGGGUUGUAAAGGACUUUUGUCAGGGAAGAAAAGGGAGGGGUUAAUACCCCUGUCUGAUGACGGUACCUGAAGAAUAAGCACCGGCUAACUACGUG
rnacentral:rRNA from 1 species